AAAAAUGUUCUUCAGAUUGUAAAAAAUGUUCUUCACACUAAGAGGAAUGGUUCUUUUAAGAACUUUUUUCACUGAAAAUUUAUUUAAAGAGCCAAAAAUGGUGGUUCUAUGGCAUCACUGCCAAUAAAAAAAAAAAAACAAAAGAAAACUUUUGAAACCUUUAUUUUUUAAGGGUGUAGAUGGAGAUUUAUACAGAUCUAUACAUAAAAGUAUUCCAUACAGCUUGUGCACUAUAUUUCAAGUUUUCUGAAGUCAUGUAAUAGCUUUGUGUGAGGAACAGACACAAAUUUAAGCUGUUAUUCACCUGAAAAUCUUCUCCGAUCUCAUUCAUUUUUAUGAUAGGUAAAAAAAAUGGUGCCUUUCACUGGGCCACACCAAGUUACUGAUGGUGUAACAUCUCCUUUUUGUGUUUUACAGAAGAAAAGUCAUAUGGGGUUUGGAACAACAUGAGGGUGAAAAAAUGAUGACAAAUGUUUCAUUUUUAAUUCUUUCCUUUAAAGAUAAAUCAAGCUUUGAUUCCAGAUUUUAGUGAGGUCACAGUCAGUAUCAAACAGCACAUGAUUGAUAACAUCUGAGGAGGAAUUGUAUUCUGCCGUUGUUCUCAUUCAGCUGAUUUUUAUCUUACAAAUGUUAAAAUGAUUCUGUUUAACUUUGAGGAAAUCAUCCAUUGUUCACUCACUUGGCUCCGAUUCAUCCUUUUAUCGUGCCGCCUGCAUCUUUCCUAUUUUUUUUUUUAGUUUCUGUUUCUCUCAGCUUUUCUCAUUCUCUAAGUAUCAUCUAUUGCUAAAUCUUUUUGAUUUUAUGAGACGGAAGGAAAUCCUUUGAAAACAAGCUCUUGUUUACUUUUCACACCAGGUGAAAAAUCAAAAGCAAGAAAUUGAACCUUCAGUAGAAGCAAAACCAACCACAGAUCUACAUGUCACAGAUCAGCUUUGGAUUAAGCAGGCUGUUGUGUAGAUGGACAAGGAGUGACCUGUUUAACAUUCCUCUCAACUCUGGGCUCUUCCAGAACCUGGUCUCAGAAGAAUAGAUUUAAAGGGCAACCAAUAAUAUGAGCUCAGCAAGACCUCUGAUCACUAAAUGCAAAGCUGGCUCCUGUCGCUGUGCUGCUGUAUGACAGCUUAAUAAUGGCUUUCACAGGUGCACAUUUUCAUUUCACAAUAGAGCCAUGGUCCAGCUGUGUGGUCACAGACCAGGACUUGACAUCCUUAGGCCAUUCAUGACACCUCGCGAAGUAGAGCUCUGCAGAAUCAGUAAAUGGGUUUCAGAGCCCACCUAGCUCAUCUACUGUAGUUAGCAAUUCUGUUUAUAACUUUGAUCAACAUCAGAAAUACAACCCACAGACAGAAUAGAUUCCUGUGCAGAUCUUAGCUGGUCAUGAUCCUUUCAAAAAGCUGUCAUGGUUAAUAUAGGUAAAAAUACCACAGUUACUGCAGUUAUUACAGUGUUAAUAUAGUAAGUUGCUUUUUGCUGUAAUCAAAAAAGAAAUUAAUACCAGAGUCAUCUGAAAGCUGUUUAAAAUAAGUUCAACAUAUGCUGAAAAUGUACCCACCCUCAAGCCAUUCAAGAUUUAGAUGAGUUUGUUUCUUACUCAAAACAGAUUUGGAGAAAUGUAGCAUCCAUCACUUGCUCACCAGUGGAUCCUCUGCAGUGAAUGGGUGCCAUCAGAAUGAGAGUCCAAACGGCUGAUAAAAACAACACAAUAAUCCACAAGUAAUCCACACCACUCCAGUCCAUCAGUUAACAUCUUGUGAAGUGAAAAGCUGUGUGUUUGUAAGAAACAAAUCCAUCAAGAUGUUUUAAUUUUUUAUGAGGGUGAGAACAUUUUCAGCAAAUUUUCAUUUGUUGAGUGAACUAUGCCUAUAAAGGAGAUCUUGUAUUCAGUAAUUGCUCUAUUGUAGUAUCAAUUAGGGCUUGGCGAUGUGUUGAAUAUUCAUAAGAUAUUUGUGAAAGCAUUGUAGUUGCAUAAAUCGCUAAUCAUUUGUUAAUUUUAGUGCUAAUUCUUUUUCAUCACCACUCAAAAGCAUCAACACAAUAUUCAAUUAC
ensembl:lncRNA